AGAAGUGUGCCCGAAACUAAAAGGACCACUUUGAUAGAGUGUACCAUGGGGACUAACAUUCCCCCGCUUCUU
rnacentral:tRNA from 1 species